rnacentral:rRNA from 1 species
UACGAAGGGUGCAAACGUUGCUCGGAAUUAUUGGGCGUAAAGCGCACGUAGGCGGCUUAGCAAGUCGGAUGUGAAAUCCCUCGGCUUAACCAAGGAAGUGCAUCCGAAACUGAGUAGCUAGAGUACGAAAGAGGGUCGCGGAAUUCCCGGUGUAGAGGUGAAAUUCGUAGAUAUCGGGAGGAACACCGGUGGCGAAGGCGGCGACCUGGGUCGAGACUGACGCUGAUGCGCGAAAGCGUGGGGAGCAAACAGG